rnacentral:rRNA from 1 species
CGAAUGCUGACAUAAGUAACGAUAAAGCGGGUGAAAAGCCCGCUCGCCGGAAGACCAAGGGUUCCUGUCCAACGUUAAUCGGGGCAGGGUGAGUCGACCCCUAAGGCGAGGCCGAAAGGCGUAGUCGAUGGGAAACAGGUUAAUAUUCCUGUACUUGGUGUUACUGCGAAGGGGGGACGGAGAAGGCUAUGUUGGCCGGGCGACGGUUGUCCCGGUUUAAGCGUGUAGGCUGGUUUUCCAGGCAAAUCCGGAAAAUCAAGGCUGAGGCGUGAUGACGAGGCACUACGGUGCUGAAGCAACAAAUGCCCUGCUUCCAGGAAAAGCCUCUAAGCAUCAGGUAACAUCAAAUCGUACCCCAAACCGACACAGGUGGUCAGGUAGAGAAUACCAAGGCGCUUGAGAGAACUCGGGUGAAGGAACUAGGCAAAAUGGUGCCGUAACUUCGGGAGAAGGCACGCUGAUAUGUAGGUGAAGCGACUUGCUCGUGGAGCUGAAAUCAGUCGAAGAUACCAGCUGGCUGCAACUGUUUAUUAAAAACACAGCACUGUGCAAACACGAAAGUGGACGUAUACGGUGUGACGCCUGCCCGGUGCCGGAAGGUUAAUUGAUGGGGUUAGCGGUAACGCGAAGCUCUUGAUCGAAGCCCCGGUAAACGGCGGCCGUAACUAUAACGGUCCUAAGGUAGCGAAAUUCCUUGUCGGGUAAGUUCCGACCUGCACGAAUGGCGUAAUGAUGGCCAGGCUGUCUCCACCCGAGACUCAGUGAAAUUGAACUCGCUGUGAAGAUGCAGUGUACCCGCGGCAAGACGGAAAGACCCCGUGAACCUUUACUAUAGCUUGACACUGAACAUUGAGCCUUGAUGUGUAGGAUAGGUGGGAGGCUUAGAAGUGUGGACGCCAGUCUGCAUGGAGCCGACCUUGAAAUACCACCCUUUAAUGUUUGAUGUUCUAACGUUGGCCCCUGAUCGGGGUUGCGGACAGUGUCUGGUGGGUAGUUUGACUGGGGCGGUCUCCUCCUAAAGAGUAACGGAGGAGCACGAAGGUUGGCUAAUCCUGGUCGGACAUCAGGAGGUUAGUGCAAUGGCAUAAGCCAGCUUGACUGCGAGCGUGACGGCGCGAGCAGGUGCGAAAGCAGGUCAUAGUGAUCCGGUGGUUCUGAAUGGAAGGGCCAUCGCUCAACGGAUAAAAGGUACUCCGGGGAUAACAGGCUGAUACCGCCCAAGAGUUCAUAUCGACGGCGGUGUUUGGCACCUCGAUGUCGGCUCAUCACAUCCUGGGGCUGAAGUAGGUCCCAAGGGUAUGGCUGUUCGCCAUUUAAAGUGGUACGCGAGCUGGGUUUAGAACGUCGUGAGACAGUUCGGUCCCUAUCUGCCGUGGGCGCUGGAGAACUGAGGGGGGCUGCUCCUAGUACGAGAGGACCGGAGUGGACGCAUCACUGGUGUUCGGGUUGUCAUGCCAAUGGCACUGCCCGGUAGCUAAAUGCGGAAGAGAUAAGUGCUGAAAGCAUCUAAGCACGAAACUUGCCCCGAGAUGAGUUCUCCCUGACUCCUUGAGAGUCCUGAAGGAACGUUGAAGACGACGACGUUGAUAGGCCGGGUGUGUAAGCGCAGCGAUGCGUUGAGCUAACCGGUACUAAUGAACCGUGAGGCUUAACCUUACAACGCCGAAG